UACGUAGGGUGCGAGCGUUGUCCGGAAUUAUUGGGCGUAAGAGCUACGUAGGCGGCUUGUCGCGUCGACUGUGAAAACCCGCGGCUCAACCGUGUGGUCUGCAGUCGAUACGGGCAGGCUAGAGUUCGGUAGGGGAGGACUGGAAUUCCUGGGUGUAGCGGUAGAAAAUGCGCAGAUAUCAAGGAGGAACACCGGUGGCGAAGGCGGGUCUCUGGACCGAUACGUGACGCUGAGGAGCGAAAGCGUGGGGAGCGAACAGGG
rnacentral:rRNA from 1 species